AAUCAACGCUGGCGGCGUGCCUCAGACAUGCAAGUCGAACGAUUAAAGCUCUCUUCGGAGAGUGUAUAGAGUGGCGCACGGGUGAGUAACACGUAAGUAAUCUACCCUCGAGUGGGGAAUAACAACCGGAAACGGUUGCUAAUACCGCAUAAUGCAGCGGCACCGCAAGGUGACAGUUGUUAAAGAUUUAUCGCUUGAGGAGGAGCUUGCGGCAGAUUAGCUAGUUGGUAGGGUAACGGCUUACCAAGGCUACGAUCUGUAACCGGUCUAAGAGGACGGUCGGUCACACUGACACUGAAUAACGGGUCAGACUCCUACGGGAGGCAGCAGUCGGGAAUUUUGGGCAAUGGGCGAAAGCCUGACCCAGCAACGCCGCGUGAAGGAUGAAGUAUUUCGGUAUGUAAACUUCGAAAGAAUAGGAAGAAUUAAUGACGGUACUAUUUAUAAGGUCCGGCUAACUACGUGCCAGCAGCUGCGGUAAAGUAUCGUACG
rnacentral:rRNA from 1 species